GUAUUCGGAUUCGCAUCAAUCCACAUGUGUUGGGGUGAGUUGGAGUAGAACUUGAAAUAAAUUCCACCCUAAUCCACCAACACAUGUGGAUUGAAGUGAAUCCGACA
rfam:Sorghum bicolor cultivar BTx623 chromosome 6, whole genome shotgun sequence.